AAGACUAAUAAUAUUUGUAAUGAUUAUAUCUCAAACAAUAUACACUCGGAUUUACAUUUUAGUUAAACGAUCACUACUUCCACAGCCACCUUGUCUCAAGCAUUCAAUUGCAUUCUAAGAUAUCUUUAUUCAAAUCAAGUGUGACUACUAUACCAAAAGACUGUAAAAUGGACCAAUCAACUAACCCAUCAGUACUUGCAAAGUCUCCUUUUCUAUUAGCUCAAAAAUUGAGUUCUAAAAUACCAUUAUUCACAUAACUACUAUAUCAAAGCACAAACUAAUGGAUUGAUCAAUGAAACUGUCGGUAUCUCCACAACUUUUCAAUUAAAUAGAAAGUUUCAAUCAAACAGGAUACUACGUGUGCCUACUGCUCCUCAAGACAAUGGAUA
rnacentral:lncRNA from 1 species